GGGGAACCCGGUGCGAACCCGGGGCUGACGCGCAGCGGUGUGGGGCGGUGACCGUGCCGUCCCGAGCCCGAAUGCCC
rnacentral:ncRNA from 2 species